ensembl:ncRNA F35D2.8 ncRNA
GGGAAGUGGUGUCGUAAAGCUAGUGAUAGAUUUACAGCUAUGAGGAAGAGUGUUUACAAGCCAAGUGACAUACGGUGCAUCUCAGGAUUAUGAAAAUGAUGGGGUGGUAGAGAAGAAUAUGUUGAUACAAAUGAGUAAAUAAGGUUUUAUUAAUUAAAAUUUUUGAAAGUGUUCCAAUGUACCAUAUACAAUGAUGAAAAGGUA